GAUGAAGAACGUAGCGAAAUGCGAUAAGUAAUGUGAAUUGCAGAAUUCAGUGAAUCAUCGAAUCUUUGAACGCAUCUUGCGCUCCUUGGUAUUCUGAGGAGCAUGCCUGUUUGAGUGUCAUUAAAUUCUCAACUACACUGACUUUGAAUUGGUGUGGCUUGGAUUUGGGGGGGAAAAUUGUUGUGGGCUUUUUGUAUAGUCUGCUCCCCUGAAAUUGAUUAGCGGUACCUUUGUGGAACUGUCUACAGGUGUGAUAAUUAUCUACAUCCUAGACAUCUGCUGGAAUGCUGCUUUCUAAACCUUACUUGUAUUGACAAUCUUGACCUUAAAUCAGGUAGGACUACCCGCUGAACUUAAGCAUAUCAAAAGCGGAGGA
rnacentral:misc_RNA from 1 species